CAGCAGCCGCGGUAAAACGAAGGGUGCAAGCGUUACUCGGAAUUACUGGGCGUAAAGCGUGCGUAGGUGGUGGUUUAAGUCCGUUGUGAAAGCCCUGGGCUCAACCUGGGAAUUGCAGUGGAUACUGGGUCACUAGAGUGUGGUAGAGGAUAGUGGAAUUUCCGGUGUAGCAGUGAAAUGCGUAGAGAUCGGAAGGAACAUCUGUGGCGAAGGCGACUAUCUGGGCCAACACUGACACUGAGGCACGAAAGCGUGGGGAGCAAACAGGAUUAGAUACCCGCGUAGUCCCUGUCUCUUAUAU
rnacentral:rRNA from 1 species